UGCAAGGCAGCUACAGGCAGCUACAGGGGUUGGGAAACUGCUUCAAUGCUGGGACAUAUUGGAAAGGAUAAAUAAUUUGGGUACUUCCUAGAUUGUUAGUGAGAGAAGCAUUAAAAUCACCUUGUUAGGACUGGGGAUGUAGAGUAGGGCACUUGUUUAUCAUGACCUGGGUUUGCUUACUGGGGGUAAAAAGUUUCUGAGGCCCAUUGAAUCUGGAUGGCCUUAUGUUGGUACUUGUCUCAGGCUGGUGAGAUACCUUUGGGGAUAUGUGCCUGGACCAAAACUAUUUCAGUGCAUAUUACUUGCCUGGGAGUAAUCUUUGGGGGUGGGGUCGUUUGAGACAGGGUCUCCCUGUAGCCCCAGCUGUCCUGGAACUCACUAUGUAGACCUGGCCGGCCUUGAACUCACAGAGAUUCACCUUCUACUGGGAUUAAAGACAUACCGCCAUGCCCAGCUGAGUGGGAGUAAUUUGAACGGUCAGGCUAUAAUAUACCUCAGAACAACAGUCUAGCAGAUUCGUUUUCUCUUGGUUUUAGUUGAAUAUAUAGUGCAGGGUCGGUAUGGGAAAUUUACAAAGGAAAGUAACUAGGUCCCUGAGAUCCUUUUAAAGUUUGAGGAUGUGCUGGAAAUUCUUUAGUGUGUUGUACGAUUGUUGAUUUCUAGUUGGUGUAGUGUAGUGCGGUCUUUUACUGACAAUCUUUAAACUGGACAAUAAACAUCUAUAGGAGCCUAA